GAGAUUCAGACCUUGACAGUUGUAACCGAUAGACUGGGCUGGGGCAACGCUGAUGAAAGGCAAAUUCCUGAGAGAAAAAUCACCCAGAUUUUUCAGUGCCUUCUCUAGCUUUCUAGAAGUUGUUAUGAGUGGACCUGACUACCUAGAGAGAGUAAUACAGAAGCUCCGUGCCGAUCACAGCUACCUCAUUACCAUGUUCCUCCAAGAUGGCCGCCCCUGAGGAGAAUCAUCAACUGGGCUUUACGGAAGAGAGAAAUCCAAACGACCAUCAGCAACAAAUGAAAGACUGAAGUUGAAAGGAAAUCCAUAAUUUUUGAAUGCUGGCCGAGGUCUGUGACCUCUGACUGAAUGGUUUCCAAGCUCCGAAUUCCUAGGUGAUGUUUUCAUUUGUUCACACUUGCUGAAGAAGGGAAAGGCUCUCUGAUUUACGUGUAAGCAAAACAAUCUAAACAGUAGGAUAAAAUCAUGUUGGAAUGGAGUUCUGUGUGGAUGCUCCUUUGAACCAAAUCAGUUCCACAACUGACCCUGUCAGGGACAUAUAAAUUUAGCAUUUUGGUGUGGAUACAGAAGACGAGAUUAACACAGAUCAAGUAACAUGGAAAUAAAAAAGGAGACAAUGCUGGAUGAUACAGGGGCAGCCAACAAGAGGAGAAAACCCAAGCAUUGGCAAAUGCCUCAUUAUCCAAAGAACACUGGGCCUCAGAGUAUGUCAGCUGGGGUCAGACGGGAACAGGAGUCUGGCUCAACACACAUUUAUUGCACUCCUGUUUCAUGCCAAGAAAUGUACCAAAAUCUGGGACUGUGUAACACAGCAAAGGAAAAGACUCAUCUCCAGGAAGCCCCCUUGUCUAGGAAGAGAAAUUGAAUAUCAGCAUAAGGUGGUGAAAAGCUGUGAAGGAGAUGAGUGCCAGGAGUCCAUGGAGGAAGGAUUCUAGCCUGGACAGGUGAGGAAUGGCUUUCUGGAAGAAGCAGAUGCCCCAGCUGAACUUUAAAAUGCCCAUGUGAAAUGAACUGUCUGUAUCUUCAAUCAGCAAAUGGAGUGAUUGUGGUGAAUAGUCAUGAGAAUCUGGGAACUGGCUCCUGCUCUGUCUAUCUUGGAGAUGCAUCUUUUGUGAGAAGCCAGGGCAAGAAUAGGGAGGCUUAGGCAAUGGGAAGUUUCUGAGUAGAUAAAGCAGAUGGCAGAGCAAAGGGACAGAGCCUGGCGAGAGGCUACUCCCUGUAGCAACCUGCCUAAGAGUGAGAGGAAAGCAAGGCAUGGCUAUGAGCACGUGUAGUCUCAGCUACUUGGGAAGCUGAGGCUGGGGGAUCACUUGAGCCCAGGAGUUCAAGACCAGCCUAGGCAACAUAGUGAGACCAUGUCUCUUUAAAAAAAAAAAAAAAAAGAAAAA
rnacentral:lncRNA from 1 species